UAGAGCCAUUACUGAGUUAUUCCCAAACACCAUACACAGAUAUUGUAUGUGGCUUAUCCUCAGCAACUUCUCAGAGAAACUAGAUGCAGUCGAAUGGAAAGAACACUACACUCAAUUUCAGAAAUGCAUAUGGGAUUCUGAGAGUCCAGAGAAUUUUGAAGUUGAAUGGUCCAGGGUGAUAGAGCAAAGUGGCAUGUCUGACGAUGAAUGGUUAAAAGGAUUGUAUGAUAUUCGGUUCAAAUGGAUUCCUGCGUAUGUUAACGACACAUUCUCUGCGGGCAUGUCCAGUAGUCAAAGAGCAUAAAGUUGUCAUUCAUUUUUCAAGCAUUAUGUGUCAACGAAAAACACAUUGAUGGAUUUUGUGGUUAGAUUUUCAAGGGCACUUAAACACCAACGACAUCAGGAGUUAUGUCGUGAUCAUAAAGACAUCAAUGAGCAGCCUAUCAUGAAGACUACAUGGGCAAUAGGUGAGUGAGAUAUACACAUAGAGCAUAUUUUAUAAAUUUCAAGAUGAAUUGUACCAAAGCAUGGCUUAUAUAGUAGCAAUGGACCAAGAUGUAGGAGAUAAGUGCAUGUAUAUUGUUAGUCGGGUUGAGAUUGUUGAUGGACGCGUAAGAAAAGUCAUUAAAGAUAAAUCCAUCAAUUAGUGAGUUGCAGUUGCAAAAAAUUUGAGUUUUUUGGAAUUCUUUGUCGGCAUAUAUUGGUUACCUUCAGUAGGUUUCAGUUGCAACAAUCAUUGUCUAGUCUUUAUAUAUUACGUAGAUGGACCAAGGCUGCAAAAUCACUAAGUUCAUUUAGUGUUGGAGGUGGUGGUGGGAAGGAUAGUUGUGAUGAUUCUUUAGUUGUGAACCAUAUGACCUUACAUAAACUUGCGUCGAAUAUAAUUGAUGAUGCUUUGAUGAAUCACGAGACUUGUGAGUUGGCAAAAGAUACUUUUGAGUCUCUUCACAACAUCAUAAAGUCUAUGAGCAUAAAUGAUGGAAGACAAUCUACACCAAGUGUUGGUCUUUCAGAACCUGUUUACAACGAGCCUAACAAAGUUAGGGCAAAAGGUUGUGGAAAGAGGUUAAAGGGGGGUAAAGAAAUGGCAUUGACGAAGAACAGACAUUGUCAUGGGUGCGGACUAACGGGACAUGACAAGAGGAAUUGUCCUUCACUGAACAAUGUGGCAUCUUAGUCGCAAAUUGUGGAUGACACUCUGCCUUAGCUUGAUUGUUGAACUGUGGACUAAUUGGUUGCUGUUUGUAGUGUGCUUUGGCUUGUUUCUGGGAGAUAUGUCUUCCUU